rnacentral:rRNA from 1 species
CGUGCCUAACACAUGCAAGUCGAACGGAGAACAUUGGAAUGAAGCUUCGGCAGAAUGAAUUUGUUCUUAGUGGCGGACGGGUGAGUAACACGUGAGCAACCUGCCUUUCAGAGGGGAAUAACGGCUGGAAACGGUCGCUAAUACCGCAUAAUAUACACUUUAGGCAUCUUUAGUGUAUCAAAGAUUUUAUCGCUGAAAGAUGGGCUCGCGUCUGAUUAGCUAGUUGGUGAGGUAAUGGCUCACCAAGGCGACGAUCAGUAGCCGGACUGAGAGGUUGAACGGCCACAUUGGGACUGAGACACGGCCCAGACUCCUACGGGAGGCAGCAGUGGGGAAUAUUGCACAAUGGGCGCAAGCCUGAUGCAGCAACGCCGCGUGAGGGAAGACGGUUUUCGGAUUGUAAACCUUUGUCUUUGGUGAAGAAGAAAGUGACGGUAACCAAGGAGGAAGCCACGGCUAACUACGUGCCAGCCGCCGCAGUAAGAC